rnacentral:rRNA from 1 species
UUCCGUAGGUGAACCUGCGGAGGGAUCAUUACCGAGUUUACAACUCCCAAACCCCUGUGAACAUACCUAUACGUUGCCUCGGCGGAUCAGCCCGCGCCCCGUAAAACGGGACGGCCCGCCCGAGGACCCCUAAACUCUGUUUUUAGUGGAACUUCUGAGUAAAACAAACAAAUAAAUCAAAACUUUCAACAACGGAUCUCUUGGUUCUGGCAUCGAUGAAGAACGCAGCAAAAUGCGAUAAGUAAUGUGAAUUGCAGAAUUCAGUGAAUCAUCGAAUCUUUGAACGCACAUUGCGCCCGCCAGUAUUCUGGCGGGCAUGCCUGUUCGAGCGUCAUUUCAACCCUCAAGCUCAGCUUGGUGUUGGGACUCGCGGUAACCCGCGUUCCCCAAAUCGAUUGGCGGUCACGUCGAGCUUCCAUAGCGUAGUAAUCAUACACCUCGUUACUGGUAAUCGUCGCGGCCACGCCGUAAAACCCCAACUUCUGAAUGUGACCUCGAUCAGGUA